AAAAUUAUUUUCAACUGAAAUAAAUUUAAAUAAAAAUUUAUAACAAAUUAUAUUCAUUUCACUUUAAACACUUUGGCAAAAUAUUUUUGGCCACUGCGUGAUUCGUCUGGUAUCCUGGGUCAUGAUAAAUUGCUGGCUAAGCGCGUUUUCAUGUUCACAAUCCAACAGGGGAGAUUGAUUGCAACUUGUAUCUGUGAAUAUGUCAGAGAAGUUUCUUUCAUACCUGAGUUGUCACGGUGACAUGCUGCUGGUCGCUCGGUACUGCCAACGUCGCACCGUGCUGACCCUCGUUAUUAAUUUCGCCCAUGUGCUCUGCGCUGGCACAGCUAACGUGAUGCGCAGUGGCUGGAAAGACAUUUUGCCAGUUAAAUUGCAAAUCGCUGAAGCCCACACCUUUCUGCUCCUGGGUCCUGAAAUGGUGACACUUUUUUUUCCGCCAAGCACCAAUGUCACAGUGUCAACGUUGAGGCAAUCGUCGUCCAUCGUCGUCGUCAUAACAUUAUAGGAGCUCACUUUCUGGGAACCAAGCUAUGACGAACGCUCCAUGUCUCAUACGAGGAGAGUAUGUAGAUAUAAUUUGCAUUUGAGUGGGCUCAGUGGAGUUUUUGAUGUUUAACAUGCAUUCAGAAGCCAACAGGUGCCAGAGCUGCGCCGCGAUCAAUCAUCGGAAAUCGAUUUUUAAUUAAGAACUCUUGUUGGUCGCGUUGACUGCACAUGAAUGGGUUAGUGUUCAGUUACAAUGAGUCGAAUGUGAGUAAAGAUUUUCGGGCGAAACGCUUUUUCGAGAAUUUCGUCUGGGCAUUUAGAAAUGGCAUGUUUGAAGAUUUUUGUUUCAGAAAUGAUUGAUUUAGGGAACCUUUGGGUUA